CCUAACACAUGCAGUCGAGCGGUAGAGAGAAGCUUGCUUCUCUUGAGAGCGGCGGACGGGUGAGUAAUGCCUAGGAAUCUGCCUGGUAGUGGGGGAUAACGUUCGGAAACGGACGCUAAUACCGCAUACGUCCUACGGGAGAAAGCAGGGGACCUUCGGGCCUUGCGCUAUCAGAUGAGCCUAGGUCGGAUUAGCUAGUUGGUGAGGUAAUGGCUCACCAAGGCGACGAUCCGUAACUGGUCUGAGAGGAUGAUCAAUCACACUGGAACUGAGACACGGUCCAGACUCCUACGGGAGGCAGCAGUGGGGAAUAUUGGACAAUGGGCGAAAGCCUGAUCCAGCCAUGCCGCGUGUGUGAAGAAGGUCUUCGGAUUGUAAAGCACUUUAAGUUGGGAGGAAGGGCAGUUACCUAAUACGUGAUUGUUUUGACGUUACCGACAGAAUAAGCACCGGCUAACUCUGUGCCAGCAGCCGCGGUAAUACAGAGGGUGCAAGCGUUAAUCGGAAUUACUGGGCGUAAAGCGCGCGUAGGUGGUUAGUUAAGUUGGAUGUGAAAUCCCCGGGCUCAACCUGGGAACUGCAUUCAAAACUGACUGACUAGAGUAUGGUAGAGGGUGGUGGAAUUUCCUGUGUAGCGGUGAAAUGCGUAGAUAUAGGAAGGAACACCAGUGGCGAAGGCGACCACCUGGACUGAUACUGACACUGAGGUGCGAAAGCGUGGGGAGCAAACAGAUUAGAUACCCUGGUAGUCCACGCCGUAAACGAUGUCAACUAGCCGUUGGGAGCCUUGAGCUCUUAGUGGCGCAGCUAACGCAUUAAGUGACCGCCUGGGGAGUACGGCGGCAAGGUUAAUACCUCAAAUGAAUUGACGGGG
rnacentral:rRNA from 1 species